rnacentral:lncRNA from 10 species
CCAGCCUCCAACUACAGAGAAAGAAAGAGAAUAUCACACCACAGGCACCACUGUCAACACGCCUCGGGCGGCAGUCUCACAUUUUCUACCCCGAGAGCAAACUGAAAAUAAGAAGGAAACACAUACACACCCCCCAAACAACUCCGCACCGCUGGGACUUGGCAUGUUUUUUAUGUUGCACAGAGGCGCCCAUUGAAUGGGAAAGAGAAACCUGGAAAGCUGUGAUGGCUGGGAGAGAUGCAGGGCUGAUCGAGGACAGAAAUGAGGCAGGAGCCAAGGGCGAAGGAAAAAGGGUCCAGAGAUAAUGUAGGGAGGGGCCUGGGCAGCAAGGGACACCCACCAGGAGGUGGCAACUUCAACCAAGAAUGAGUACACCAGCCCGGCGCAGUGGCUCACACCUGGAAUCCCAGCACUGCAGGAGGCCGAGGUGGGCGGAUCACCUGAGGUCAGGAGUUCGAGACCAGCCUAGCCAACAAGGUGACACGCUGUCUCUACUAAAAAUACAAAAAUUAGCCAGGCACGGUGACAUGUACCUGUAAUCCCAGCUACCUGGGAGGCUGAGGCAGGAGAAUCACUUGAACCCAGGAGGCGGAGGUUGCAGUGAGCCGAGAUUGCACCACUGCACUCCAGCCUGGUGAAAGAGCAAUACUUCGUUUCAAAAAAAAAAAAAAAGCGUACACCAGAGGGCCUGGGAGUCCCUACAUCAUAUUAAGAUGAAGUACAUACAAGAUUCUGCAGAGGCACCUACCCCACACUGAAGGAGAAGUGGAAAGAGCAGGGAAGGCUUCAAUGACCACAAAACAAGUCACAAGAGCAACAAAUUGACAAAGAGUAUGUUGGGGUCUAACCCAGUGGUUCUCAAUGCGGAGCAAGUUCUCUCAACAGGAGACAUUGGAAGAUGUCUGGAGGCAUUUUUCUGGAGGUCACUACUGGCACCUAGUGGGUAGAGGACAGGAUCCCACAACACACAGGAUGGUCCCCCCACAAGAGAGAAUGUUCUGGUCCCAAGUAUCAACAGUGGGUUGAGAAACUCUGGUCCAAUCCAAAAAAGUGCCUGGAGAUCUGCCCAUGAAAAUUAGUCACUUUGAAUGUUUCUCAGAAAUAACAAUGUUAUGAUCCAUUCCUGAAAAUUAUUGAUUUAUCUAUUCUUGUGCUCUGCCUGUUCACACAAAGGAACUGAGAUAAGAUUCACAGGAAAAUGACAUAAGUGACAUAAUCAAAGACUGGGAAAAAAAGAAAAUUAAAAGAGAAAAGAGAGCCUUAGGACUGAGGGCUGUGAUCCCCCGUUUCCCACGCCGGCAGCAGGCCUGGCUGUGUCAGGAAAGCACUGCCCUAAGUGUCUGACUCAUUAUGAAGUUGCAAUUUGAAGAGUGAUGACGUGACUUGGGGGUACGGACUUCACAAUCAUUUAACUCUCGGUCACUCUCUGAGGUUCUCAGAUGAAAGGCCAUCUCAGGUCAGUUAUUCCAGGGAAACUACAUCUGCCAAGGAACACAUGAAAGAGGUAAUUCAGUCCUUUUAGAUGAGCCAGGGCCCACACACAGGAAGCAACUCAAGCGAGGGCGGACCAGGGCAGAACCGGCCUGGCCUAGGUCUCCUGACCCCAUACACACUUGCUGUCUCCAUCCCACCUUGCUUCUCACCUCAACACAUCUG